rnacentral:rRNA from 1 species
GAGUUUGAUCAUGGCUCAGAUUGAACGCUGGCGGCAUGCUUUACACAUGCAAGUCGAACGGUAACAGGGAGCUUGCUCCGCUGACGAGUGGCGAACGGGUGAGUAAUGCGUCGGAACGUGCCGAGUAGUGGGGGAUAACGCAUCGAAAGGUGUGCUAAUACCGCAUACGAACUGAGGUUGAAAGUGGGGGACCUUCGGGCCUCACGCUAUUCGAGCGGCCGACGUCUGAUUAGCUAGUAGGUGAGGUAAAGGCUCACCUAGGCGACGAUCAGUAGCGGGUCUGAGAGGAUGAUCCGCCACACUGGGACUGAGACACGGCCCAGACUCCUACGGGAGGCAGCAGUGGGGAAUUUUGGACAAUGGGCGCAAGCCUGAUCCAGCCAUGCCGCGUGUCUGAAGAAGGCCUUCGGGUUGUAAAGGACUUUUGUCUGGGAGCAAAUACCCGGUGUUAAUAGCGCCGGGGGCUGAGAGUACCAGAAGAAUAAGCACCGGCUAACUAC